CAGAGAGCAAAUUAGAAUCCAAGGAAGUUGACAUGUCAUCACUUCAUUUUUUUGCGCCUGCGCAUAAAUCUGAGAAACGUGAGUUUUGUCUUCAUUUUUUAUCUAGACAUAGGAUAGGUUGUGUGAAAAUAUUACUGAUGUUUAACGUUAAAAAUGGACCAAAAGAUUAAUGCUAAACAACAUUUGACAUGUUUGAACGAACAUAAAUAGAUUAUUUACUAGGUUUUUUUAGCUUUUCGGCGUGAUUUUACAGUCCCCCCACCACGUUUUGUGGGAGCAUAAUGAACGCUAAGUACUUGGUGUUAUUUGGACAUAAAUUAUGAACUUUGUCAAAAGAAACCACAUUUGUUCCGGACCUGGGAUGCCUUCCGGACCUGGGAUGCCUGCCAUCUGAUGGAGAUAAUCAAAGACCAUUUCCGGAGACCUUCUCCCCUACCUCACCUCGCUCAUCAACUCAUCCUUGACCGCUGGCUACGUCCCUUCUGUCUUCAAGAGAGCGAGAGUUGCACCCCUUCUGAAAAAACCUACACUCGAUCCCUCCGAUGUCAAC
rnacentral:lncRNA from 1 species